GGUGGGGUUCCCGAGCGGGCAAAGGGAGCAGACUGUAAAUCUGCCGUCAUCGACUUCGAACGUUCGAAUCCUUCCCCCACCACCA
rnacentral:tRNA from 1 species